GGACGCAGUAGGCUAAGGUAAGCCAGUUAAUGGAUUCUGGUCUAAGCAGUGAGGUUUGGUAUGAGUCAAAUGCUUGUACCUAUAAGAUUGAGCUGUGAUGGGGAAGCACUUUCGAGUGCGAAGUACCUGAUGUCACACUGCCAAGAAAAUCUUCUAGCGUUUAAUUAUAACCUACCCGUACCGCAAACCGACACAGGUAGUCGAGGCGAGUAGCCUCAGGUGAGCGAGAGAACUCUCGUUAAGGAACUCGCCAAAAUGACCCCGUAACUUCGGGAGAAGGGGUGCUCCACAUUUGUAGAGCCGCAGUGAAUAGGCCCAAGCGACUGUUUAUCAAAAACACAGCUCUCUGCUAAAUCGUAAGAUGAUGUAUAGGGGGUGACGCCUGCCCGGUGCUGGAAGGUUAAGAGGAGUGCUUAGCGUAAGCGAAGGUAUGAAUUGAAGCCCCAGUAAACGGCGGCCGUAACGAUAACGGUCCUAAGGUAGCGAAAUUCCUUGUCGGGUAAGUUCCGACCCGCACGAAAGGCGUAACGAUUUGGGCACUGUCUCAACGAGAGACUCGGUGAAAUUUUAGUACCUGUGAAGAUGCAGGUUACCCGCGACAGGACGGAAAGACCCCAUGGAGCUUUACUGCAAGUUGAUAUUGAGUAUCUGUUGCACAUGUACAGGAUAGGUAGGAGCCAUUGAUCUGAGGACGCUAGUUUUCAGUGAGGCGAUGUUGGGAUACUACCCUUGUGUCAUGGCUACUCUAACCCGCAUGCCUAAUCGGCAUGGGAGACAGUGUCUGCUGGGCAGUUUGACUGGGGCGGUCGCCUCCUAAAGAGUAACGGAGGCGCUCAAAGUUUCCCUCAGCAUGGUUGGAAAUCAUGCGUAGAGUGUAAAGGUAUAAGGGAGAUUGACUGCGAGACUUACAAGUCGAGCAGGUACGAAAGUAGGACUUAGUGAUCCGGUGGUACCGCAUGGAAGGGCCAUCGCUCAACGGAUAAAAGCUACCCUGGGGAUAACAGGCUUAUCUCCCCCAAGAGUUCACAUCGACGGGGAGGUUUGGCACCUCGAUGUCGGCUCGUCGCAUCCUGGGGCUGUAGUCGGUCCCAAGGGUUGGGCUGUUCGCCCAUUAAAGCGGCACGCGAGCUGGGUUCAGAACGUCGUGAGACAGUUCGGUCCCUAUCCGUCGCGGGCGUAGGAAAUUUGAGAGGAUCUGCCCUUAGUACGAGAGGACCGGGGUGGACUUACCGCUGGUGUGCCAGUUGUCUUGCCAAAGGCAUCGCUGGGUAGCUAUGUAGGGAACGGAUAAACGCUGAAAGCAUCUAAGUGUGAAACCAACCUCAAGAUGAGAUUUCCCAUUCUUUAUGAAUUAAGGGCCCUGAGAGAAGAUCAGGUAGAUAGGCUAGAAGUGGAAGGACAGUGAUGUUUGGAGCGGACUAGUACUAAUAGCUCGAGG
rnacentral:rRNA from 1 species